AAGAAGAGAAAAAGAAACAGGAAGAGGAAAAAAAAAACAAAGUUUGAGAACCUCUGAAAAAUCAUGAAAGACAUAUUGAAGAAAAAAGUUGAAAAGGUGGUUGUGUCAAACUGAUUGGUGACGUCUCCAUGGUGUAUUGUCACAAGCACAUAUGGCUGGACAGCAAACAUGGAGAGAAUCAUGAAAACUCAAGCCCUAAGAGACAACUCAACAAUGGGUUACAUGGCAGCAGAGAAACACCUGGAGAUAAACCCUGACCAUUCCAUUAUUGAGACCUUAAGGCAAAAGGCAGAGUCUGAUUAAGAAUGACAAGUCUGUGAAGGAUCUGGUCAUCUUGCUUUACGAAACUAUGCUCCUGUCUUCUGGCUUCGGUCUGGAAGAUCACCAGACACAUGCUAACAGGAUCUACAGGAUGAUCAAACUUGGUCUGGGUAUUGGUGAAGAUGACCUACUGCUGAUGAUACCAGUGCAGCUGUAACUGAAGAAAUGCCGCCACUCGAAUGAGAUCACGACACGUCACACAUGGAAGAAGUAGAUUAACCUCCGGCUGAGGGAUUACUUACCUGUUCAACACUCUAUAAUUCCUCUGAUAAUAUAUUUUCGAGGAUGUUUUCCUUUAUUUUUGUUAAUAUUAAAAAGUCUGUGUGGCAUGACAACAACUACUUUAAGGGGAAGAUAAGAUUUCUGUCUACUUCUAAGUGAUGCUGUGAUGCCUUAGGCACUAAAGCAGAGCUAGUAAUGCUCUUUUAGUUUCACAUUGGUUUAUUUUAACAGAUUGGGGUAACGUGUGUUGUAAGAUGUAUGUAACAUGAUGUUAACUUUGUGGUCUAAAGUGUUUGGCUAUCAAGCCAGAUUCCUAAGUAGACCAAAUCUUGUUAUCGAAGUGUUCCUGAGCUAUACCUUGAUGUUUUGAAAAGUAUUUGUUACAUCUUGUAGGAUCUACUUUUUGAACUUUUUAUCCCCUGUAGUUGCCAAUUCUGCAUGUACUAGUCCUCUAGAGAUAGGUUAAACUGAAGCAACUUGAUGGAAGGAACUCUCCACAGGGCUUGUUUUCCAAAGAAAAGUAUUAUUUGGAAGAGCAAAGUUAUAAGCCUACCUAAGCAUAUCAUAAAGCUGUUCAAAAAUAACUCAGACCCAGUCUUGUGGAUGAAAAUGUAGUGCUUGAGUCACAUUCGGCUUGAAGUUGUAACAAAUACAGAUGAGUUAAAAGAAAAAAAAA